AUACUGUUAUAUUCAGCAUACAUGUUUAGUAGAGACAGUUGAAGUAGUUGUUUGUUUCGCGCACAAUAUUUCCCAAAAUUCAUCAUUAAUAAAGGUAUUUUUGAUUUCUCAUUUAAUUUUAUUUAAAAGUUUUUUUUUCUCCGACACUGGCCGUGACCCGUCUGCGAAGUCCGCUCAUUUUCCGGGUUGGCUCGAUCAUCUCGUGAUCAUGCAUGCGCCUGGGACACACUGCGUCGGACGGACCGGCCCGGCCCCAACCCGUUCGUUGGCCGGCGCGCCGUCUUCCUUCUCCCAACUCCCAUCUUAAACCCUUUUAAACCUUUUGAAUUCAAAAUUCACAGUAGCUUCUAUUCAGUUCUCGCUCUCUCCGUACAGCCAAGGCGAAGCAUUACAGGCCUCCUGGAAAGUAAAAGGAAGGGGAUCGCAAGCUAUUAAAUAACUCCAAGGUUCUUUUUCUGCACUUGUCACCAUUUGUUGACAAUGAGGCAGAAGGUUAUGUUCCAGAAUAAGCAGAGACCAUCAAAUGGUUGCAGGUUGCUGCAAGAAAACAAAUCCUUCCACUACCAGAUAUUGGGAAAGAAGAUUUAGAGGAUACUCAGUAUUUCUGGCUGAAGCUAUUAUCAGUAGAACAGAAGCUAAUGAAGCUGCCGAGAGAAAGUGGAAGAUGCCAGUUCUGGAGACACGGUAUCAUGAUGGAUUAGAAAUGGAGCUUCAGGGCAGGCAGUAUACCACAUCUGUGUCAAAUAUGCACAAUGCCGAAUGGGAAAUCGGGUAGAGAAGAAUCUGGUUCUGAUCUGCAACAAAUUGCUGAGGGUAUUGCUGCCAUGUCCAACAUUGCCAUGUCUCGCAAAGAGGGGGCUUUUAGAAGCUAUGGAGUUUAUUUUCUGGCCUUAUUAUGCUCCUUUCAGUGGACUAAUUCUCACUGGCAAUUUCUAGAAAAGCUAAUGUAGGAUUUAUCUCUUUGUUUGUUAUAAGUUUGAUUCCUGCUAUUUCAGAUUGGCAAAGAACGCAAGCGAGCUCGUGUCACUCUUUUAAAGGAAAGGAAGAAAAACAUUAAAGCCCAGAAAUCAGAGAAACAUUGAAACAACAGUUUCCUAAACCAGCUGCAUAACCUGAAUGUUUAUUUUUUGGCUGCUAAUUCUUGUAGUUUUGGGUAGUAAAUUUUGCUUUUGUUAGUGUUAAAACUUGAUAUACACUGUUGGUCCACAACUUAGUAGUUUAAGCUUUUGGGUAAAGUGAUAUUCUAAUAUGGUACAAGCCUAAAAGCUAGAUAUACAUUUUUGCUCACAAUCUAAUAGCUUAAGCUUUUAGAUUACCACCGUUAGGAUUUGAGUAAUGACUUGAGCUGCUAAAGCUUUAAUAAUGUUGAGUGUAUUGGCUGAAAUUAUUUAAUUUAAAUAUUAUUUGAUUUUGAAAUAAUACAUUUAUCAAAUAGUAGGAAAGAGAAGUCAUUUAAAUGAACUUUAUCAUCGUUUGUUUUUAGAUAGUUCUAACUACUAGUUAUUUAUUUGAGUCAUUUUUUCAUUUUCAUCGAAAAUUCCAUGAAUGUAAUAAAAUUUGAUGUGGUUAGAAAGUCUAAAUUAAUAAUUUUUUUUGCUAACUUUCUAUUCCAAUUGCCACCAAUAUCAAACAAUGAGUUAAGAAAUUGGCUUAGCCAUAAUUGCUGCAACUUAACUGUCAUAUGUUAUGAUUACAAACAUGUUAUUGAAAAGUCAAAUCUUGUUAUUGGAUUUGCAUCUAACGAGUAUGCGUGUUCAUGAUUACGAACCUUUUAUGUUUCUUUUGCGACCGAUAAUUUCAAUGUCUAGAACAAUUAAAUGCAAGUACAGAAUACAGAUAGAGAUAGAGAUACAAUAUACAUGAAUUAAAAGGCACUAUAAAUCUAAAAAAUAUAGGCCAUGAUAUAAGAUAAACAUGAAACUAAAAAUUAACUAAUAUUGCAAUUUAAGAACCGUGUGAUCCCCAUAUGCAUCUAUUCAUCAACGCCUUCCCUCUUGAAGAACCGCGUUCUAACAUGAGGUGUGAAUUUUUGCACCGAAAAAGGAGUAUUUGUUGGUGGCUAUGCGUUGCUUCAAUGAAGUGAACGAAUGAAGCUUUUCUAGUGAAUGCAUUUUCAUGUAUUGUGCUUCCAAUCAAAAUACUCGGCCACAAAAAAUCUCAAGUGAGGAAAUGUAAUGUAAAUGUAUUGAGCUCUGCGACAAAUGUGGUCCUCAAGGAGAUCAGAUUUCCUUCGGCAUGAGUCAACAUCUGUUUGGAGGGCAUACCUUUGUGCAGCUUUUGCUCAAAUUUCUUAACGGAAGAUAAUUUGUUUUCUACUGAGUCGAAUGGACAAUGUAACGCUUAAAGUGCUCAAAAAACUUGGGUCCGAAGGAUGAAACUUACUUUUAAAUCUGAAACGCAGACUAUUGGCAUAAUGUGAGGCAAGCUUUGAGAUUAGCGAAGAAUUUAGGAACUCAUAUUUCAUUUUCCAAGGUGACGCCAUUUUUUUUUCAAGAACUUGAGAAUUUGUUUGAAGCUGGGAUUCUAAGACAAGAAAAGAGAUAUGAUAAUGUUGCAAAGAUGUCAAGUUGUGAAUCACAUGGAAAUGUACUCAGCAAGCAUAUUGAAAUUGUUGGCCAUCUAGGUUACUUGGAUGCAUAUUGUGUUAUGUUGGGAUGAGUGUUGAAAAUUUUUCUAUAUGAAUGAUUAGAGGAAUCUUUAAUUCUCUUUUGUCAAGUGUCAAGCAAUGAAUUUCCAAUGUUUUCCUGAUAUAAUUGUCGACUUACUCCUUAACAGCUCAUGGUUUUGAUGCCAGGUUGUGCCAUAACAUCAUAUUAGGGUUCUAACUCUAAGAAAUAUUGUUGCCCCAUUCCUUGCCUAACCUCCAUUCCAUCUAAGCUUGUUACAAUUAUAAAGCUGAUAACUUGAAUUUGCAUUUUUUUACAAACAAAUUUGUAGUUACAGUUUAUAUUGCAUUGCAUUUAUUUGGGCUCCUUGUCCAAUCUGAUGUUGCAUGUUUAUCUUGCAAUACUCUAAAGUUUUGGAUUCAAUGUCAAAAUGUCUUCUACUUUGUGGCGCAGUUAUAGUUAUUCUGCUGAUCUGAUAAACAUUUUUAGCAGAUGUUCACCCUUUUUAAUUUAUGUUGAUAUCUUCUGGCAUUGUAGUUGUCCGCACAUCCGGCUGCCUUUUUAUUAGUUUAAUGGAAAUGAGCAUUUUUAAAGAUCAAAACAAGAGUCUUAUUGGAUUCUUACUUCUUUUGCAUUAAUAAUUGCACUGCGGUAAAUCGCAAUCUUUAGGGUUACAUUUGACAUUCUAACCUUCUCCAUCUACAGAUCUGAUUAUCAUAAUGGCUUUUUAAACAUGUAUGAACAUAUUAUCCGCAAUAUUGACAUUGAAAAUAUGCGGAGUCAUGUAACUUCUUAAACUAACUCUAUACAGAUAAUGGCCCUGAGUUUGAUUCAUAGUUCUACAAGCACUAAUCACUUUCAAACCAACUGACUUUAUGCACAAAUAAUGACUAACUAUAUAAUUUACAUACAAAUGACUCUAACUUGAUUCAUACUGUAGGAAAAACACAUCACACUCAAACCAAUCAUCAGAACACUAAACUACUAAGUGAAUGAUUUAACAUCAAAUUGCCCUCCGAACUGCUUCUAACAUUUUUAAUUUGAUUUUGUUGACGCUGUCUUUGUGUGGGAAGAUUUACCAGUGAUGACUUUCUUCACUUUGGCAAUUGAAUGCUUGACUUUUGAUCCUACACCUGAGAGUAAAUUAUGGGAUUUCUUAUGUGCAACCUUAACAUCCUUGUCUCUAGAAGCUUCUACGAUAAUGGGGGCUUCAGAGCCUGGGUCUACCUUUUGGCCAUCAUUUCCUUCCUCUUCGUCAUCUGUCUGUGCUUCUUCAACUUGGUAAGUUUCUGCAUCUUUAGUUUGCAUUUCUUCUUUGGUGUCUGUUGGUUUUCUGUCUUCAACAAUGUGUCCAGCUGCUUGCUGGGAUUCAUUUUUUGAUUCCUGUAGGAGUUCAGAUAAUGAAAUUCCAGCCAAAUCUACUGAUGCGGACUCGGCUAUUUCUUCAUUUGUAUCAUACAUUCUUUUCUGUUCUCUAAAUUCUACUUCUUUGAGUUCUGGUUCAAUCUGUGAAGCAUUUCUUUGUUCCAGCUCUUCUACUCCAAUGUUCUGCGCCAGUGGUUGAACUUCUGUAUGGCUCAUUGUGGCCAUUUCAUUUGGAUUUGCUUCCAUUGGAAUUGAAUUUCCUGAUUCUGCAUUAGUGAUUUUAUCUAUCUGCUUGAUGUCUCGAGUGAUUUCAUUGACUAUAACAGUGUCCACAGUGCCUCUUUCUUGUACUAUCCCUAUGCUCGAAUCCUGGAUUUGAGAUAAAGUACUAGACUUCUCUUUUUGAUCUUCAGUUCCUCCAUAUUCAUUAGUGUGUAUUGCACUGGGAUUUUCAGCUUCAUCAUGCCUCCUCUUGUUUUCCCCAGUUGAAAGCUGUAUCAUUCCCUGCAUUAAUGAUCAAAAGUCAAGUUUUCUUUGGGGGAGCUUAUUAUUUGAGUUUCUGAUUGCUAUGAUAUUUAUGCUUACCUCAUCCUUAUCUUUAGCAUCCUUUACUUCUGCUGCUGCACUUACUUCAGUUGUUAUUUGCUUGUCUGAAUCCCAUUCAUGUUGUUUCUCAUCCUCUGUGAUCUUGCUUUCUUUGUCUGAUAUUUUCUUUUGUGAGCUUUCAGUGAGAGAAGUGCCUGAUUCAUGGCUUUGAAUGGCUUGACCUUUCAGGUCUGAACUUCCUGUAGCACCAGUUCUGUCAGAUGGCGACAGAGGAGAUACAUGCUUAUGAUUCUUAUCUUCCACAAGGAUCUCUGAUUUAUCAGUGACUAUGCAGCAUGAAGCCUGCCUCAACUAUAAAAAAGGGCAGCCUGGUGCACAAGGCUCUUGCGUAUGCGGGGUCCAGAGAAGGGGCGGACCACAAUGGGUCUAUAGUAUGCAGCCUUACCUUGGAUUUUUGAAAGGGGCUGUUUCCACGCCUCGAACCCGUGACCUCUAGGUCACACGGAGACAACCUUACCGUUGCGCCUAACCUACCUCAACUGUCCGUUGACUAAAUCAAGGCUUGGUGAAUUGGGAUUUUAAUGCUGAUUUCACUCCCCAAAGAUCAAAUGGUGAUUACAGAGGAAUUUUUAGCCGAUCUUGAACAAGCAGUGAAGUGAAAAUGAAGCUAAACAUGGUGUAAGCUCAAACGUGUGGGCUAAAAUUUUCAGAGAAUAGAUAGUUAAUAAGAUGUGCUCAUUCAUUCAUGGUUGGAUUGACAAUCAUUUGGCAAAAUAUUGUCUGAUUGCUCUGCUAUUAUUAGCAUUGAUGAUCUAUGGAGAUGAAACAACUGCACUUUUAGGAGCUAUUUGCUAUCACUUUGUUUUUUGCUUUCUUUUUCUGUUGCACUAAAUGGGUUAUGGCAAAGCAUUUGUUCGUAUUUGCUAGUUCUUUAGUUUAUGUUGUCAUUUUUCAAGUGUUGCAUUAACAACUAAAAAUUAGAUUUUAUUUUUGUUCACUUCUGUGUUCAAUCACUGCGUACACAACCUUUUUAGUGAAGAAAAAAUAAAAUAGAAGUAUUACUAAUAUUUCUAAUUUUUUUAAUAAAUAAAAUUGUCCAAAAAAAUUAUUUUCACCUUUUCGUUCUUCAUAUACAAUAAUCGUUCUUAGAAUACUAAAGAGUUAAUUUAAAUAUAUAAUCAUUAAGGAAAAUAUUUCUGAAGAAUUAUUUUUAUUAUGAUAUACUUUAUGUUAUAAUAUUUUGCAUUUUCAUUUCAAAUCAUAAUUUGACUAGUUCAGAUUUUUUAAAAUUUAUUUUAUUGUUUGAUUUAUUAAAGUUAGUGGUGCCAUUAAAAUGGUUGGUACCUGAUAGUAAAACAAUUUUUGGUGAUCCAAGGAUGAUACUAUAUAUAAUUAUUAUUUUAUCAGAGAAUUAAAAAAUUAACGUGGGUUCGAUAAAUGUUUUAGUUUAUUUCCGUUUUGGGAAUAUAACCAAAUAAGCUGCCGAUUUCAGUUUUAGUUUCUGGUUGUUUAUAAAUUUUGUAUGCUGAUACCAAACAGAUCCUUCAUAUAUUUUUGUUGGUUUUUGGUUUUUGUUUCUCAUAUUCAGAACCUUUGGUGGUGAUACUAAAUGGCUCCUUACUAUAUUUAUUUGAUUUGCAUGCUGCAAAAUUGGUAAUAAACUAAUAAUCAAAGUGUUAGUUUAUUGAUAUCGAUUAUGAAUAUCAAUUUACGUCAAAAAAAAAUUCAAUAGUUAAAUUCUUCAUCAUAAAACCUCUAGAUAGUUAAAAAUUAAACUAUUAAAGAUUGAAUAGGCAACAAAAUUUCUUUAUGUAUUUAUUAUAAUUUUCAAUCUUAGUUUUAUCUUAGUAGAGAGCACCUGAAUACAGCAUCAGACACACGUGGAGCAUAUGGAUUCUUAUAAUUUUUUAUUAGUUUUCUCAGGAAAAUGAGUGAUACUAACAAUGAUUUUUGUUUCCUUCAGAUAUCCAGGCUAGCAGCGGAUCAAAGCCUAUACUCUGCUCCCCAGUGACUUUGAAAACAAUUGUGAACUACACUGAACCAAAAUCAUCAUAGCGUGAUUCUCAUUCUGAUCUCAAAAGUGAUUCAAAAUUGUGAUGCCUGCACUGCAGUGAUAAUGAAAAGCAGCAGCAGCAGCAGCAGAACCACUGAUAAAAACUACGUGACAAAGGAAAGGUGAUCUCACUUACCGUUAUCGGUAUGGGUUCUUGAUCGUCACCCUCGGUAGCCAUUUGUGUGCUGGGGAAGGGUUGAAACCAGAGAGAAGUGGCUUCAGCUUUCUCUCAUUACAAGCUUCUGAAGAUUAGUUGAUCUUUCUUGGUCAUCAACUCAUGUACAUGUACAUGAGGAUGCAAGUCCGUGAGGCUUUGAGCUUUUGAAUCUGGGAAUUAGAUGUAUAUGUGACAUUCUCUUUCUCUCCUCUCUUGAUGGGUAUGUUCCUAAAGGUGGUCAGUAGGUGACAAAAUGCCACUUGUAACAUGGGAUUAUUUGGUAAGUUGGUCCUACUGAUUGGUCUUAUCACAUGCCCUCGAAGAACAACACAGGGUCAUAAGUUGUGUUGUGGGGUAUAGUUCUUCUGCAAGAUAUGAAAUGGCCGGAAAUGAUAUUGCCCAGGGAAGCUUUUGAUGGAUGGCUAAAGGGUAGUUUUCCCUUGAGGGCAAUUUUGGAGAAGUAAUCUCUAAGUUAUGCUGCCAUUAUGCCCUUGGAGAAGGUAUCUUUGCUUGCACAACACAACAAAUAUCCUUAAUAAAAAUAAUCCUGUUUUGGUAAU